rnacentral:rRNA from 1 species
AACGAACGCUGGCGGCAUGCCUAACACAUGCAAGUCGAACGAGACCUUCGGGGCUAGUGGCGCACGGGUGCGUAACGCGUGGGAACCUGCCCUUAGGUUCGGAAUAACUCCCCGAAGGGGGUGCUAAUACCGGAUAAUGUCUUCGGACCAAAGAUUUAUCGCCUUUGGAUGGGCCCGCGUUGGAUUAGCUAGUUGGUAGGGUAAAAGCCUACCAAGGCGACGAUCCAUAGCUGGUCUGAGAGGAUGAUCAGCCACACUGGGACUGAGACACGGCCCAGACUCCUACGGGAGGCAGCAGUGGGGAAUAUUGGACAAUGGGCGAAAGGCUGAUCCAGCAAUGCCGGGUGAGUGAUGAAGGCCUUAGGGUUGUAAAGCUCUUUUACCCGGGAUGAUAAUGACAGUACCGUGAGAAUAAGCUCCGGCUAACUCCGUG